CCUACGGGGGACAGCAGUGAGGAAUAGUGGUCAAUGGGCGGGAGCCUGAACCAGCCAAGUCGCGUGAGGGAAGACGGUCCGACGGAUUGUAAACCUCUUUUGCGGGGGAGCAACGGGGUCCUUGCGAGGGCCCAAGGAGAGUACCCGGAGAAAAAGCAUCGGCGAACGCCGGGCCAGCAGCCGCGGUAAUACGGAGGAUGCGAGCGUUAUCCGGAUUUAUUGGGUUUAAAGGGUGCGUAGGCGGGCUGUUAAGUCAGCGGUCAAAUGUCGGGGCUCAACCCCGGCCUGCCGUUGAAACUGGCGGCCUCGAGUGGGCGAGAAGGAGGCGGAAUGCGUGGUGUAGCGGUGAAAUGCAUAGAUAUCACGCAGAACUCCGAUUGCGAAGGCAGCAUACCGGCGCCCUCCUGACGCUGAGGUACGAAAGCGUGGGUAUCGAACAGGAUUAGAUACCCGAGUAGUC
rnacentral:rRNA from 1 species